CUAAGGUUUUCAAGACAUAAAACAAAGAUCCUUCUCCUUCAUGGCCAAUCAGGUGGCCAAGAUAGCUGCAUGGUCCUUCCUUGUAGUGAAGAAUGCCCGGAGUUAUAGGCCAAACAAUUCUCAAUUUGUGACCUUGUUUUAUCGGGACAGUUCUAACAAGUAUCUGAAACAAACACCAGAAUAAAGGUAAUAUUAAACAUUCUCUCAAAAGUUCAAUAACUUCAGCCACACAUAACUGUCUUGCACAAAAGUUUAACAUUCUCUAAAAGUAUGAAGCAAGCAAAGUAUCAGAAAUGCAGCAGAACUUGGCAUGCCUGUAAAUGUUCCGAGGAGCAAGGCUGACCAGGAAAAGAGAAACAGCUCCUAUCAUUAUUUCGAAUUUCCUGGAACUUGUCCUCGACAAGGCUUUGUAUUUUAUCAAGGCUUUCUGAAGAUUUCCACAGCAAAGAAAUUGAUAGUUGUAAUUGUUGGUAAAUAAUGAAAUCAAGAGAUAAUUAAUGUUGAAGGGAAGCUUAUUUACUAACCUUUUGCAUAUAUUACCAAGUUCAUGAGGUUGGCAGAAUAAUUUUUCUAGAGCUUUAUAAGCUCAAGUCUUGUAUCCAGUCCCUUUUCUUUUGGCUGAACUUCCAAAGUGUCCCAAUUCCCUAUGAAUUGACAAAUGAUAGACACAAUUCAGGAAAGAAUAUAAAUUUUGAUCUUCCUCAAUAUGAAACAUCAUUGUAGUUGUAAAUAUGAUUCCUUAAGAAGUUAAGGGAAGCCAGUACAAGGCAUUCGCCCCUAAGAAAUUAUCAUUAGUUAAAAACAUAAUGUUGCAGAAAAAUAUUAUUAAUUAAACUUUACAUAGUCAUAGGCAGUAUGGAUGUUUUGCUGAAAAUCAACAAGCAUGCAUGACUUGCUUCAUGCCUGGAUUACUGUGUUCUACAAAUAACAUACCAGCUCAUACACACAUGCAUACAACCACACAUAAAUAUACAUCGACAUAUGCAGCUAACCUGUACUGAAUUUAUGGUAUGGGUGGCCUUCCUCACUUAAAUGUUUCUGAAGCUGCAAUGAAAGAGAGAAAAAACAGUUUGUGAAUAGUAUUAAUUGCAUAAUCACUACGAAGCUGUGAUUGAUGACAAGCAGCAUGGUUUGCUACAUGUGAAAUGCAAUAUUUACAAAGAAUGAACUGUGCAUCACUAUUUCAUUAAGGUUGUGACCAAGUAUAUCAAAUGUGCAAUAUCAUGCAAAAGCAUAGAACUACCCAAUGGAAUACCUGUUUUUGAGUGACUAAGACAAAACAGCAGGUGAUCUGUGACAUUUUACUUAUAGUUAAUUUGGAAGGUUAAAUUGGCCUCUUGUUAGUCUAGGUGGUUUCAAAGGUGAAAAGGAAAAAGAAAACCUAGAUACCUGUAGGAUUCUUCAUCAUUAGGAAUUAGCAAACAACAUAUCAACUAAAACACUUGCAAAUACGAGACAACCAAAAGACUGAAAAGAAAGAUUAACAAAAGAAAACCAACAGUCUACCGGAUAGGUGAGCAAGUGCAUUGAAUGAUACCUGGUGUAUUCUCCAACCAUCAGACAGUAAGUUUUUCUGAUUUUCUGUACAAGAGAGACACAAACACCAGAGUAAGUAAUUACCAACACUAAUUCCGAAUAGAAACUCAGCAUCAAUCCAGCUUGAGAAACCUAAAAAAGAAAAAAAGUCUAAGCACAGCAGCUAACCAGAAUCAACAGCCUUAAUUUCCCUAAUGGUUGCAUCCGCUGACAUCAACGGUUUGAUAAAGAACUGUGCAAAUCUGAACAGUAAAUCACAUUCAAAGAACCAGGUCACAAACUUUAUAAGAUAACUGACAAAACCAACAAGCUAUCUAUCAUUACAGAUUAUAAAAAUAAGAAAGCGUGCAUUUUAUACCUGUCCAGAGCAUCUUCAAAACAAUCACUGUUAACAUCAAAAUGAUAGUUGGUGUGGUCCGACGCCGUAUAAGCAUUGGUACUGCCCCCAUGCUACGCAUCAAGUAGACAACAUAAUACAUAGAAAACAUCGUUUAGUAACACAUAAAUUCUCACCAAAAUUACAACUCAACCUUCCCGAACCACAUAGAAUAAAUAUAAAGGUUUUAACAGUAAAUGAAAGGAGCUUUCUUUCUUUCUUUCUUAAGUAAGCAAUUUAAAUGAUAAUUAAAUAAUUAAUCACCUCAAUAAUGUACUUAGAGUAACUGUCCUCUAGUGGAUAUUUCUCACUUGCAUAAAACAGCAUAUGCUCUGCCAAUACCACAAACCAAAAAAAUAAAAUAAAAAACCUUCAAGAAAACCACAAAAAGAAAAAAGAAAAAAGAAAAGGCUACCCAGAAAAUGAGCGAGUCCUUCAAGACCAUCAGGAUCACUGAAAGAACCAACACUAACAUUCAUAGACGCCGCACACUAAAAAGAAACGAAAAAUAAAUGGUUAGAAUUGACCUACAUCAGUUAUCAAAGCGCCAGAAUUGAAUUGAAAUUGCAAAAAUUAAGGAAUUGAAAUUGCCUUAUCGGUGUCGGGAUCGCUAAUGAGAAGGACUUGGAGAGCAUUUGGAAGAACAAUUCUCUUGUAUUCUCGCUUAUCAGUCCUUGCCUUCACUAUCUCCAUCUCCUCCGCUUCUUAUUUGCCUACCGCCGUCGUUUUGUUCCUUUCUUUCUUGUUGAUUACUCCUGUGUUUUUUCAGAGAGAAAGAUAAUGCGAAAGACUUGUUGGCUUUGGUCUUUCUCUUUGGUUUAUUCUACAGAACCUUACUAGAAGCUGACACAAGCAAACAGGGUUUUAUUUUUUUACAUGAGUUUGAUAAAAAUUAAUAAAAUAAAUGGAAUUUGGAUUAAAAUUCUAAAUUUGAUUGAUUGUUUUCUUCAUUAUUAUGAUUUUUGAAUGUGUAAUAUAUAUAUAUAUAUAUAUAUAUAUAUAAAGAGUUUUUUUAAAAUUAGUUAAAUAAUUCAAGCUAGCUUACUAGCCUAGUAAAUUCACGAAAAAAUAUUUUCUUUGUUUUUUUGAAGAGUGUUAAAUCUAUAGAAAAUGCUCUUCUUUUUUUCAUAAGAGGCUUUUUCUAUGAUUAUUUAUUUAUUUAUUAUUAUUUUGUUUUGUUUAAUUAUUGUUUCAAUAUAAAAAAAAGAAAUCCAGGCCAUAUCCCUUCAUUUCUUUUUCUUUUUACUUUAACUUUUUUUUAUAUCUCUUUUAUUUUUAUCUUGAAAUGCUAAUUAAAUAUAACCUGAAUCACUAUUUUAUCAUCAUUAUUAUUUAUUUAUUUGUUAAUUAUUAUUUAGAUAAUAUUUAAUCAUUAUUUAAAAAUUAAAGAGAUGAAAACAGGUCUUUAUCUCUUAUUUUUUAAACUCAACCUUUUAUUUUUAUAUCUCUUAUUUUUAUCUUAAAACAAUAAUUAAAUACAACCUUAAUCUCAUUUGUUAACCCAUUCUCCAAGGUAGAAAGACUUUGGUCGGGUUCGUUCUAUCACUCAGCUUGUACAAGUGCGAGGUGCUAAUUGGUUUGUUUUUUUUUUUAAUUAUUAUUAUUAUUUAACCCUAUUUACAGAUUUAACUAGCCACGUCAUUUGUAUUGCUUUCUUGACAAAGUCAAAUAAUUUACAUUGAGUGGGUUAGAAUCCCCCAAGGUUGAGUGUUGUUGACGUCUGCUUGAGCAGGAAUGAGAGAAGCUGUGAAAACCAUGAUUGAGCUUUGAAGUGGUGAUAAUCUGGCUUUUUGGUUGACUUUAGGUCUGCAACGGUGAUGGAGGCUGUUCGGUGGUGUUAUUUUUUACUUAGAAAUAUAUUUUUACUUUAUAUUAAAAUAUAUUUUAAAGUGGUGAUAAUCUGGCUAGUGAAUGCUUGCUAUUAAUGGCUGGUUGCUUGAGUUUAACUCUGGGAGGAUUAGGGUCUAUGGCAAAUGAUGAAGAAGGGACAUUAGCAUAAUGCUUCCAUGCUGUCUAAAUAGCUUUGAAUCUCUUGUUUUCGCUUUCAUAAGAAGUUCCUUGCUAUACAUAAAUCUUGGCUAUUCUUUUUAUGUAAUCCAAUCUCUUCAUAACACUGAAGUGAUAUGUGGGCAUCACAUAUAUUCUCAAAGUUUUGGUUGAAUUCAAAUACCUAGCUCUAAAAGCUUGUUUGGCUCUGCGGUUCAACCUGUAUUUCGUUAAAUUUUAAUUUUUUUUGUUAAAAUUAAAUGCGGUUAUUAUUUUUUGGAUUAUUUUGAUGUGCUGAUGUCAAAAAUAAUUUUUAAAAAAUAAAAAAAUAUUAUUAACAUGUAUUUCAAUACGAAAAACUAUUUAAAAAAUAACCGCUACCACAAUGUCAAACAAACACACUUUAAAUUAAGCCCUCUGAUGAUGAUGAUGAUUCUCUCAUCUGUCCUUGAAUAUUGCUGCUGUGGCAUGUGAUGAUGAUGAUUCUCUCAUCUUUAUUCGAGUACCUUCUUGAUGGUCCUAUCCCUUUCUCCUUCCUCUUUCCAUCUCAAAUGAAGAUGCCCGGCCGAACAGAAUCCACAAUCCCAUAGACGAAGAAGACUAUACAGUGUCAGAAGAAUCUGAAGAUGAACCAGAGAAGCCUCCACCGCUCCCUUCUUUCCCUUGAAUUGAAGAUCAAGGAAUCGAUUAAAACCCUUGGAGCUGCAGUCUUUCCUAAGCUCAGCUGGAGUACCACCAAAAGACUGCUUGGAUAGCCCAUCUUGGACCCUCCAUUGCACUUCAUCUAGUCAUUGCACUUCAUCUAGUGAAACUGCGAUGUGUUGUGAUCAUCGGACUCAUUUGUCCAUGAUUCAUGCAGUGACAAAACCGUGUCAGGUGUUGUUCCCCUUUCUUGCUUGAUAUGGAAAUCCGUUGCUUUGUAUCAUUGCAUGGAGCCAGCAGCUGGUCGGGAUCUCACAGAGGGAUGUCACUGCAUUUUAUCUUGUUCUCCUUGAGAAGAAUAGUGAUCAUCAACUCUUGUUGGGGGUUUUUAUAAAUUUUACAAAUAACGUUAGACUGAAAUUGAAUCUGAAAAUGUUACAGAGGUUUCAUUCAGCUAGGAAUGGCUACUGGAAAUACCUCCCAGAUGUCAGGUUUAAUAAUCUCUCUGUUCUUCAUCUAGGUACUUGUUGAAAUGUAUCAGUAAAAUUAAUCAUCAGAGAUAUAGCAUCUGUAAAAUUCGAGCUGGCAUGGAAAUUACAGGGAUUUGAAUCCAAUGCGCAUUACCUUUUUUUAUCUUAAAUAAAAAACAGCACAUACUUAAGUUGGACACAUGGUUAAAUAAAUAACAGCAAUCAAGGAGAAACGUGCAAAAACCCUGGAAGCAUCUUCCAAGUUUUGACCUACAACAGUCAACAGAGGUUUCCGAGCGAUGAAAAAGUAUAUUGAUGUAGAGAUCCCCAUCAUGCGUGAAUCAAGGACAGAAAUGAUCAUGCACUGAGAGGAUGCAUAAAUGUUUGCUCAAGAAAACGAGACUAAUACAUCCAAAAUGCUUACCAAAAUAAAUUAUAGUUAACCAGAUUGAAUGAUCAAAUUGACAGAAGAAACCCAGGUUGGUAGCCUUCAUGAGAUUAAAAUGGAAAAUUAUGAAAAGCACUGAUGAUAUCUAGUUUGUAUUUUAAUGUAUUGCAUCCAGUAGCUAGGCUAACAUUUAUCGGUCUUUAAGAUUGGGAUAUGCAGUCAAAGUAUUAUGAAAGCAUUUACCUGAAACUUUCAACAAGUGCUGCUUUCAACAACUUUGAGAUACAAGCAACACAUACAAAAAAUAGUUCAUAGAAGUUGCAAAGCAACGAGAAACACAGUGCCAAGCACGAAAUAUUGCUCAAAGCCAUGAGAAUCACUUUGGAGAAUACUUCUUGUUUUAUUGCUAUACUUCGGCUUCAGCUACGACUACCAUUUGCUUGCUUCGCUGCAGGUUUCAAUUUUCUUCAACCAGAUUGUACACAGCUGAAAAGGGGAAACCUCCAUUGCUUUUAUAUCCCAACCCUACAGCUUCAUGUGACCAAAGCCUCCUUUAAAUGAACCAUAAAGAGGCUGUGAUCUUCUGAAACUGAAAAUAUCUUCUAUUUGAACGGCGUUGGGCGCAAGCUGUUGGCUUUUGUCUGAUGGGUACUCACAUGAAUGGAGUUUCCCGUAAACCCGCACGCUUAAUGUCCUCUUCCGAGGUGCACCGACUUUUACAUGUUCAUCAAAGAAAUCUAUCAAGUCCUGUUGUGUGAGUUGUUUUAAUGCGGCCACCUGUUGUAACAACAUGGAUUAGAAGUUCAGAACAUUUGAAGAAAAAAAAAAAAACAAUUUAUAGAUUUUUUCCAGCCAUUUUGCAGGGGCCAAUAAUAAACAUCUGCAGAAAUAUGAGAUUCAUACCUCGCAUUCUCGCCUAUCAAACUUCAGGGUCCCAUCAGAAAUCUCUCGCCAGAAAAAUGCAGAUUCUUCUCUUUAAAUUCUUGUGCUUCUCAAGUUUCAUAUCUAUCAAAGCAUUCACGUUACUCUGCAGGGCAUUGACAGGCUUUUUGAAAUUAAAUCCUUGUGAACGGAAAUGGAUCGCAAGACUCGUUUGUCAAAAACAGCUCAAUUGCAACCACCAAACCUCAAAACAAAUUGAGGCAACAACAAAAUAAAAUUAGAUAACAAAUAAACAAGCAGCUAAUAUAUGCCUCGUUCCCUCUCAUCUAAAUGGCCAAACUGUUCACAAUAAUGAAUUGAGACGUGGAUUGUCUAGGAACAACUAGAUUUCCUUAUCAUUGAAGUUAUAUUGUUCAAAAAUUGUGCAGCUCCUACAGAAAAUUAGAUAGCAAAAGGAAUUUUUUUAUUGGUAGCGAGGAAUUAAUCUUUUGUUUACGCAUGCAAUUUGCGGCUAGCUCUAGAUUUCCUUACCAUUGAAGUUACAUUGUUAAAUAAUUGUGCAGCUCCUACGGAAAAUUAGAUAGCAAAAGGAUUUGUCAAUUGGUAGCGAGGAAUUAAUCUUUUGUUUAGGCAUGCAAUUUGCGGCUAGCUAUAUCUCAUUGUAUCUUGGAAAAAAAGGUGCUGGUAGAAAAUUUAGAGAGAAGAAGGUAAGCAUUUGAAGAAAGAUUAACCAUGCGCAACUUAAGCUCGUAUUUUGAAGAUUACUCCAUCUUCCUCCCAAAAAAUGAUGUGCAAGAAAAUAUCAAUCAAUUAUGAUAGGGAUAGAACCUCACCUUGAAUUUCAUUGGUCAUCUCAUAAAGUUUAGUUUCAAACAUCUUGAGGAAUGCCUCAACUCUCAAAUCAAUUUGUCCGGGACCCUAGCAAGAUUACCAGGUUAAUGAAAUAUGUAAUAACACAAGGCUACAUGACAAGAAGAGAAACACAAAAGAAAUGCUAAAUACCUUCACUGUAGAUUGAAUGCUAAACUGCACUCCACGAAUACCAGAGUCAUUUCUACAUUGAAAGAAAUGGUAAGGCCUAGAGAAAAAUCCAUGUUGGGGACAAAAUUUAGGGAGAAAUUCUGGAUACCUCUGCCUGAGAGCAGUAAUGUACCCAAGUUGCUCAACAGAUCUAAGCUGGUGGAAAGCUGCCUGCUUUGCAGUUAAAGCAAAAAGUUGAAGUUUCACAUUCAAUGUAAAAUCAUCUCGAUGAACCUGCAAAAUUGAAUGAUUCUGUCAAUUAGAAAUCAAAAUUCACUUGAAAUAAUUUAUUCAAUCCAGUCAAUUACCAGAAAACGACAAGAAAUGCAGUAUUUAAAUUUAUUUAUAUGCAGUAAUGUUUCAUUAGUGAUGCUACAUCUUAAAGUUGAAAUCAUGUACUUCUUGACUUAAAAUUAUAUCUUCAACAACUCAAAAACUACGGAACUGCAAAAGCAGCCACAUUGACUCAGAAAAACCAUUUCUCACAAGCAAUACAGUUACCUGUAUGUAAUGCACCAGAGCAGAAUUUCAUCAUCUGGAUUUAAGCCUUCAAUUGGAUACAAAUAAUUGAUGCCCCUUUCAAGCUUGAUAAUCUACUUGUUAAAUGCUGGGACGGGAAUAAGGGUUGGCAUAUAGGGUCUGGACCCUCCUUAAAACAUCUUCAAUAUGCAGAAUCAUUGACUCUGCUCGCUGCGUUCAAUAUUACCUGAAUGAAUGGAAUAAUUACUAAUGAUACUUAAAUUCAAGACCAGAUAGCCAUAUGAUUAUAGAAAUACAAGACAGGCAGUUGAAACCUGCUAUAUAGCACUCUAAGAAGGCUCUUGAAAGCAUCAAUGGAAUAAACUUAGCAAGAUCUUCAGCCUGAAGAUGAGGAAGUAUUUCAAGUUUUUCCAUCCAAGGCCAUUUUUGAUCCUGUAGUAAGAGAGAACAAUAGUACAUAGCCUGCUGACAGGGCUGCUGGAACUUCAAAUUUCCAUACUCCUUUGUCACCAUUUCCUGGAAAAAAUACAAGGUGUCUAUCAAUGAUAAUCAGUAAAAAAAUGCACCGCUCAUAUGUUCUUCCCUAUGCAACCUGUAAGAGUCACCUAGACAGGAAUCCUAAAGAAAAGAAACAAUAACAAAAUUAAACAAGAAAGGUAAUGAAAGGAAGAGAUAAUUCAGUGGUCUCUAAAAGUGGCAUUCUCUUGGCCAUAUUCCACAAGAAUUUUUCAAAAGUUAUUCCCAACCUUCUUAACAUCAUGUACAGGGCUUGGCUCAUAUCUGUCCUUCCCUUGUUCUAAUUAUCAAAAUUGCACUUGCCAAAAUGACAUGAAAAUGAAGUCAGGUUACAGGGAAACACGUGACACAAGCUCCACCACUUUGAUCGGGCUUCAGAAGAAUCCUAAAAGAUGUUCAUGGUGAUUUCAUAAUCAAAUAGAGCAUUAUUUGGUAUACAUGACUGAUCUAUAUAUCUAUAUAUGUAUCCUUUUGAGUAUAAAUACUUGUAGAUACAGGAAGUUCAAACCCUGUAUGAACUCUUCCUUGAAUUACCUUGAUCACAGAAAAUCUGUCGGGCUUCACUUUAAAAUUUGAAAUUUUUUCAAUAACAGUUUCCAACAAGAUCCUCAGUUUGUGGCUGUAACCAACAACAGUGACCUGCAAAAAAACAAAACAAAAGUAGGUUGGUGUGAGAGAGGGGACAGAAGAGAAAUCAUAAUAACAUAUAAUAUGCAAUAGGCUACUACCUGAAAACCUAUCUGUUUGCUUAUGCCAUAAUAUAGACCAGCAACCCGUGCAUAAUAGCUGAACAUACAAACAUAUGAAACUGUUGUAAGAUGCAGAGUGGAGAUUUAUCAAAUAUGCCAGUAUAUCAAAUAAGUUUAUUUAUCAAGAUGAGGAUUUCAUAUGAAUUUAUAUCAUAUGCCACACUGCUUCAUCAAAUAAGAGAUACUGGAGCUUGAGGGAAAAGGAAAUAAAUAAAAAAGUAAGGGAUUAAAUUUUAUCUUCACUAAAAUAAAUCCAAAUUUUAGUUCGUGGUACCAUAAUCAUUCAGGUCAUCAUCAACAACCGCGCAAAAAUGUCUUAAGAACUUCAGUCUCAGGAGAGCUGCUAGCAAAGGGCAGUUGAAAUCUAUCUAACAUAAGCUUUAGGAGUAGAGAACAUCGUGUCAGGCUUGUACCAUAGUGAUGAAGAGGAUGACUUUCUUAAGAGAACUGGAAUUUGACCUGCUACGAAGGUCAGUCACAUCAGUAAUAACAUACAAAAAAUGAUGAUCAUGUAACAGAUAAUAGAAUUCCAUCAAACCUUCUCUUGUGCAUCCUUAAGUGAUAAGUCAGUAGGUAUGAAUACAUUAGGCGCUGGCAGAUGCAAAUCUUCAUUGGGAGCAAAUAGCAUCCAUUCCUGCAAUCAGACAAAAACUUGCAAAAUAUCAGGUUUUGUACCUUUACAAGAGAUUCUAAUCAUGAAAAUGAAGCUGCUUAUAGUUUGAUGACAACAAACAGUAAAGCAAAAUAAAUUGCAAUGGAAGUCCAAAAAGAUUUGCAUUUAUUAACACCAUUGACUGGAUAAUCUAAAAAGUAACAACCAACGACAGACCUGGAUCAUGGAGCCAGUGAUUUUCUCAACACUGUAUGCAGUUUUGUACCAUGGCUCAGUCAUUGCAGUUUGCCCUUCAAAUUUCUUCGAUUCCCAAAAGAUUCUGCAGAAUAAAAGGAGGUAAUUAAGAAAUUUUCUCAACCAAGUCGGUGUCCAGGAGAUAACUGAUUGAAAAUUUGUAGAAACAAAUUGAGACAUGUAUAGAGCACAACAAACAAAAUUCUGGAUGAGGAAAAGAAACAAGUCUGUAAAAGUUCACCCAAUUACUAGUUUUCCUUUACCAUGGAAAAGCAGAUUACAACUACUAUCUUGAGAAUACAUGCAAGGUGAUUGUAAUGCCGAUCCAAUCAUAAGGAAAAAAAAAAUAGGCAAUUGAAAGUUAUAUCAUCUGUCUAUAACGAAUGGCCAUAUUUCUUCCAUUUUGAGACAUUCCCCUUAACCAUAAACGGUGCUAAAAUACAUCAAUUUCACUGCAUUCUAUUAUUAUUUAAUUGGAAUCUAGCAUCAUUUACGAUUAUCAAUCCCCUCGAAAGUAAGCUAACACGAAAGCAACUCAGUUUUCGUUCAACAGGAUUAGAAAGCCUCUCUAACACGAUUUUUCUUUGUUUCUUGCUUUGUAUUUUUUGGUGGUUGGCAUAUUCUCCUGAUCUAAUUCGGGUUUCAUGCCUUACUAAUAAAAUCCAUUUCAUUGUCAUAAACCGAAAAAACAGAAUAAGGAAUAAGGGACAAAAAAUGUUUGCUUCUCAUUUGUUUUGGCAAAAGUUACAGCUCCUUUGAGCUCUAAAUAACUCACCGAACAUUGUCUGGAGAAAGUUGAUUAAGUACUGUCUGAAUUAUGCUUGGACUGAAAUUAGAAGGCAAGGAGGAUCACCAGCCAAUCUUUUUGAGGAUAUAGCUGAUAAAAAGAAACCAAACAACCAUUUAAAGACCAUUAUUCUAAAAUAUGUUAGCUAACAUCUCCUCAGUCACAAGCUUUGAAAUACAUACAGCAUGCAAAUAAGCAUAUACAUACAUAUGUGCACAUAUCUAUUAUAUGCAUGCAUGCAUGUGUGCAUGCAUUUACCUGAAUAUAUUUUAAAGCUGUUUAAAAGUAAAGAGAAACAAAGCUCUCAAACAAUCUCCAAUGUUUAACUAUUCACAAAUUGAUCCCAACACAUCAAAAACUCACUUCAACUUUAACUAUUACAGUUUAGCAAAAGUAAAAUCAUUUUCUUCCAUCAAAUUACUCUCAGUUAAAUCCUAUAGGAAACAAACUUCUUAGCCUUUCUAGCAACUCUUAAAAUCUAUCUUUCAGCAAAUCAUCCCCAAAUUUUAGAGGCACACCUUCUAAUUAUAUUAAUUUCACCUCCUUUUCAGUUUUUUUUUUUUAAAAAAAAAACUUAAUCACAAAAUUUUCCUUAUAUUUUAUAAGCACCACAUUAGGCUUUCAGAUUAUUUUCACAUGAGGCCACAGCUCAUCAAAUUAAAAAAAAUCUGCAACUCAUAAGUUAGAAGAUGAAGCACUUGUAAACUGGUAUUGCUUCUAAUGAAAAAGUGUAUAAUGAAACAAAAUGCUUGUUGUUAAAAAAAAAAACUUAAUCACAAACCAUUUUCCUUCUUCUGACCCUAAAUUGAAAGGUCAAGGCUUUCAGAUUAUUUUCACAUGAGGCCACAGCUCAUAAAAUUAAAAAAAAAUCUGCAACUCAUAAGUUAGAAGAUGAAGCACUUGUAAACUGGUAUUGCUUCUAAUGAAGAAGUGUCUAAUGAAAACAAAAUGCUCGUUGUUAUUGUUGUUUGUAGAGGAGGCAUAGAUGUUUUAAAUUUGGGCACAUUGUUUAGUAAAAGCAAUUCUCACAAAAGUUAUACAACACAACAUAAUGGUAUAGAAUAUCUUAUUAAAACAACAACCAAAUUGGCAAGAUGUAGAAAUUCCAGAGGAAGUGCACAUUUUUUCCCUUUCAAAUCCAUAACUAACCUGCAUAUUGGAUGCAAUCCGGACAACAUAACUUCUUGGAGGGGUUUGUCUUGAUAGUGGAAUGAUGUCUCACAAACAGCUGCAAGCUUCAUAAAAAAGAUAAAAUAUUUCAGUCUUGAAUAGAUUAGAAAGAGAAACUUCAAUACUGAACGCAAGAGAUAAGAAAUAAAUAAUCUAACUUGACAGGGAGAUGCAAAAAACGCUCCAAAAAAAAAAUUAACUCAGAAAACCAUUAAAUAAAGGAUAGAAGCAUGAAAAUGUCAAGAUGCAUGGUAGAAAAGGUCAAAAACUUACAUCUCCUAAGCUUCUUCAGUUCAAAUGAACUGUUUUUUUGCUCAAACUUGUAUGGGCCAAUUGAUAUACCCAUAAUUUCAACUAGAACUUAAAGUGUAACGGAACCUAUGUUCCACAGCAUGAGAAUGGCAAUUAAACAAAAUGCCAAUUGGUCGAGUUCAUCUGGCAACUUUAAAUUGGAAAUCAACUGCAGAAGAAUUCAUUAUAUGCUGGUUUGCCUAAUCACCAGCAUUCUCUUUCACGUGGCUCUCUUGCCUAAUCACAAUAAUGACAUUUCAUUUCUCUCUUUCUCAAACUAACAUGGUAACACCUAUCAAAUUCUCUAAACAUGGUCUCUGUGGUUAGAGUUGCAUAUGAGCAUGGCAAGAAGCGUGUGUGAUGCACGUUAGCCAUUACCCUGUUUGUCAGUAAUAUCACAAAAUGGUAAUCCAAAAUUAUAUAAUGCAUUUCCAUACCUCAUCAAAUAUCCAUUUGCAAACACCAGACUGCUGCAAGAGGUGAAUGUAUUUGAAUAACAGUCCAACAACAUGUUGCAUGUGCUCUGCAAUCCGACAAACAAAAAGGCAUAGUUUAGAUAAAAGAUGUUAAUCCCAGUUAUAAUUCUGCCCAAAUAAAAAAUAAGAUAAGCUAAGCUUUGCAACUCUGUUAAAGCUAGAUUGUCCAAGAGCACAAACUGAGAUAAAACUAAAGGGGAACUAACCAUGGCCGGCAUCAGUAAGAUUAAUUACUACAGUGAAGAAAGAGAACUCUUUUGUCCCAUCUCCUUCACCAGCAGAUAACUUAGUGGCCCAUCCUGCAUUUUUUUAAAGUAACCAAAUCUUAAGGUAAGUCUGCUUUUCAAAGGAGGAAAAGAAGAAGCCAGCGUUUCCAGCAUCAUAAAUAAAAGACAGGUAACUACAGGCACAAGAAUGCACACAGUGAAUGCACACAGAGUUCACUGAACAUGAGAAGCGGACUGCCAAGCAAAAAGCAAGCCAUCUAUGUGUAUAUCUAAUAAAGUAGAAUUAAAAAAAAUAUUAAGAUAGAUGGUAAGGAUGCGGAAACCCACCUAAGGUUUUCAAGACAUAAAACAAAGAUCCUUCUCCUCCAUGGCCAAUCAGGUGGCCAAGAUACCUGCAUGGUCCUUCCUUGUAGUGAAGAAUGCCCGGAGUUAUUGGCCAAACAAUUCUCAAUUUGUCACCUUGUUUUAUCGGGACAGUUCUAACAAGUAUCUGAAACAAACACCAGAAUAAAAGUAAUAUUAAACAUUCUCUCAAAAGUUUAAUAUCUUCAGCCACACAUAACUGUCUUUCACAAAAGUUUAACAUUCUCUAAAAGUAUGAAGCAAGCAAAGUAUCAGAAAUGCAG
rnacentral:lncRNA from 1 species